rnacentral:rRNA from 1 species
AUUGAACGCUGGCGGCAGGCCUAACACAUGCAAGUCGAGCGGAUGAGAGGAGCUUGCUCCUCGAUUCAGCGGCGGACGGGUGAGUAAUGCCUAGGAAUCUGCCUGGUAGUGGGGGACGACGUUUCGAAAGGAACGCUAAUACCGCAUACGUCCUACGGGAGAAAGCAGGGGACCUUCGGGCCUUGCGCUAUCAGAUGAGCCUAGGUCGGAUUAGCUAGUUGGUGAGGUAAUGGCUCACCAAGGCGACGAUCCGUAACUGGUCUGAGAGGAUGAUCAGUCACACUGGAACUGAGACACGGUCCAGACUCCUACGGGAGGCAGCAGUGGGGAAUAUUGGACAAUGGGCGAAAGCCUGAUCCAGCCAUGCCGCGUGUGUGAAGAAGGUCUUCGGAUUGUAAAGCACUUUAAGUUGGGAGGAAGGGUUGUAGAUUAAUACUCUGCAAUUUUGACGUUACCGACAGAAUAAGCACCGGCUAACUCUGUGCCAGCCGCCGCAGUAAGAC